rnacentral:rRNA from 1 species
GACGAACGCUGGCGGCGUGCUUAACACAUGCAAGUCGAACGGAAAGGCCCUGCUUGCAGGGUACUCGAGUGGCGAACGGGUGAGUAACACGUGGGUGAUCUGCCCUGCACUUCGGGAUAAGCUUGGGAAACUGGGUCUAAUACCGGAUAGGACCGCACUUUAGUGUGUGGUGGAAAGAGUUUUUGGUGUAGGAUGAGCUCGCGGGCUAUCAGCUCGUUGGUGGGGUAAUGGCCUAUCAAGGCGGCGACGGGUAUCCGGCCUGCGAGGGUGUACGGACACAUUGGGACUGAGCUACGGCCCAGACUCCUAAGGGAGGCAGCAGGGGGGAAUGUUGCACAAUGGGCGCCAGCCUGAUGCAGCGACGCCGCGUGGGGGAUGAAGGCCUUUGGGUUGUAAACUCCUUUCGCUAGGGACGAAGCUUUGUUGUGACGGUACCUAGAUAAGAAGCACCGGCUAACUACGUG